rnacentral:lncRNA from 1 species
AAAAGUUUUAAUAAAAAAUAAUUUACUUUUUAAUCUAAUAUAUAAGAAUAAUUUACCUGGGAUAAAAUGUAAUUUGACAAGUGUAAGUCGUUUUUAUUCGUAGAGGUAGUGAUAAGGUGAAUACAAAGGAACUAAUUUAGGAUUCUGCCCACACCGAUGUCUCAUAAUUAAGUUGUUGACUACAAUAAAGAAACAGAAAAAGGGUUACUGAAAUUUACAUUAUCGUAGAGCACUAAGAAAAGAAUGAGGAUGAUGAAAAUUAUAUGUAAAAGGAAAAAGAAACACAGAAAAAGAUCCAAACUAGAAACAUUAAAUUACUAAAAGUAAACAAGGAAAGAAGAAUCAUGAGAAGAAGAAGGGAAAGGGUGAAAAUGAAAGGUUGGGGUUGGUGUUAACAGCCUCUCCCUCACCCUUGCUAGCGCCACCUUGCAUUCUCCUAACAGCUCCGCCAUAAUCGAUACCUUAAUCAUUCUUCUGCUGGAUGGAAAUUUGAAGACCUCCAGUUCCACAAAUCUCUUUUUCUAUAAGAACAGAAAAUAUUGAACCUACUUUUAGCUUUCCCAAAUCAAGUGUUGGAAUGCUGAGAUAGAAAAUAAAGAUGCAGCCAAACGUUUAACUUAAAAAGAUAGAAAAUAUUUGUGGGGUCUACCAAGUACCAAACUUUUC